GGCCUCGUAGCUCAGUGGAUAGAGCAAACGUUUCCUAAACGUUAGGUCGGAUGUUCGAGUCAUCUCGAGGCCG
rnacentral:tRNA from 1 species